GGCCGACUGACGGCAGCCAAAGGCUGACCUGCUGCGCACUUCCCUGGAUCGGUGGCAGGGGGCGUGUCUCUGAGUGGGUGGGGACAGGCCUCCCCCAGGUGUCAGCAGCAUCUCCUGUUUUUCGUGUCCAGCACCUGCUUACCAUUGCGCUUCCUCUGGUGGCUUUGUUGAAGCUGUGUGGGGCCAGGACUGAAGCGGGACAGUGAGGAGGCUCCUGCGGAAGUCCAGGCAAGAGGAUGGUGCACAAGACCAGGACGGAAGCCAUGGAGGAGGUGAGAACCGGGCAAGUUCUGGAAACAUUUUGUAGGUGGAGCUGACCAUGUGCUGACAGGUCAGAUGUGGGGUGUGAGAGAAAGAGAAGAGUAAAAGACAACCCAAGGACAGUCUGAGCAACUGGAAGGAUGGAGUUGACAUGAAAUGAGACGAGGAGGAUGAGGGGAAAUGAGGAAUGGGUUUAAACAUACUGCACCUGGCCUGGUGCGGUGGCUCACACCUGUAAUCCCAGCACUUUGGGAGGCUG
rnacentral:lncRNA from 10 species